rnacentral:rRNA from 1 species
UGGGGAAUAUUGCACAAUGGGCGAAAGCCUGAUGCAGCGACGCCGCGUGCGGGAUGAAGGCCUUCGGGUUGUAAACCGCUUUUGAUUGGGAGCAAGCGAGAGUGAGUGUACCUUUCGAAUAAGCACCGGCUAACUACGUGCCAGCAGCCGCGGUAAUACGUAGGGUGCAAGCGUUAUCCGGAAUUAUUGGGCGUAAAGAGCUCGUAGGCGGUUUGUCGCGUCUGGUGUGAAAGUCCAUCGCUUAACGGUGGAUCUGCGCCGGGUACGGGCAGGCUAGAGUGCGACAGGGGAGACUGGAAUUCCCGGUGUAACGGUGGAAUGUGUAGAUAUCGGGAAGAACACCAAUGGCGAAGGCAGGUCUCUGGGUCGUCACUGACGCUGAGGAGCGAAAGCGUGGGGAGCGAACAGGAUUAGAUACCCUGGUAGUCCACGCCGUAAACGGUGGAUGCUGGAUGUGGGGCCCAUUCCACGGGUUCCGUGUCGGAGCUAACGCGUUAAGCAUCCCGCCUGGGGAGUACGGCCGCAAGGCU